rnacentral:rRNA from 1 species
AUUGAACGCUGGCGGCAUGCUUUACACAUGCAAGUCGAACGGCAGCACGGGGGCUUGCUCCUGGUGGCGAGUGGCGAACGGGUGAGUAAUGCAUCGGAACGUACCCAGUAGUGGGGGGAUAGCCCGACGAAAGCCGGAUUAAUACCGCAUAUUUCCUGAGGGAGAAAGCGGGGGACCUUCGGGCCUCGCGCUACUGGAGCGGCUGAUGUCGGAUUAGCUAGUUGGUGAGGUAAAGGCUCACCAAGGCGACGAUCCGUAGCUGGUCUGAGAGGAUGAUCAGCCACACUGGGACUGAGACACGGCCCAGACUCCUACGGGAGGCAGCAGUGGGGAAUUUUGGACAAUGGGGGCAACCCUGAUCCAGCCAUGCCGCGUGAGUGAAGAAGGCC